rnacentral:rRNA from 1 species
ACGGAGGGUGCAAGCGUUAUCCGGAUUUAUUGGGUUUAAAGGGUCCGUAGGCGGAUGAUUAAGUCAGUGGUGAAAGCCCACAGCUCAACUGUGGAACUGCCAUUGAUACUGGUUAUCUUGAGUGCGGUUGAAGUUGGCGGAAUAUGUCAUGUAGCGGUGAAAUGCUUAGAUAUGACAUAGAACACCUAUUGCGAAGGCAGCCAACUAAGCCGUAACUGACGUUGAGGGACGAAAGCGUGGGGAGCGAACAGGAUUAGAUACCCUGGUAGUCCACGCCGUAAACGAUGAUUACUCGGUAUUGGCGCAAGUCAGUGCCCAAGCGAAAGUGAUAAGUAAUCCACCUGGGGAGUACGGCCGCAAGGUUG